CCUACGGGAGGCAGCAGUGGGGAAUAUUGGACAAUGGGCGAAAGCCUGAUCCAGCCAUGCCGCGUGUGUGAAGAAGGCCUUCGGGUUGUAAAGCACUUUCAGUGGGGAAGAAAGCCUUGGGGCUAAUACCCUCGAGGAAGGACAUCACCCACAGAAGAAGCACCGGCUAACUCCGUGCCAGCAGCCGCGGUAAUACGGAGGGUGCGAGCGUUAAUCGGAAUUACUGGGCGUAAAGCGCGCGUAGGCGGUCUGAUAAGCCGGUUGGGAAAGCCCCGGGCUCAACCUGGGAACGGCAUCCGGAACUGUCAGGCUAGAGUGCAGGAGAGGAAGGUAGAAUUCCCGGUGUAGCAGUGAAAUGCGUAGAGAUCGGGAGGAAUACCAGUGGCGAAGGCGGCCUUCUGGACUGACACUGACGCUGAGGUGCGAAAGCGUGGGUAGCAAACAGGAUUAGAUACCCUUGUAGUC
rnacentral:rRNA from 1 species